CGGUGUACCUUCUCUGUCUGUAUUUCUGGGAGCUGUUCUCUCCCCCCUCCAUACGUGUCUACUUGCCCACUUUGGUGUUGAAUUCGUUCUUUAACCAUGUGCCCCGCAACGGAGGAGUUGCAUGAGCCUCUACGUCUUGUGUACCUCUUCAUGGCCAGGCGUCUCGGUCGGCUGCCAUUCUCCCCUUUUCCGAAUCGAUGUAAACGUUUGUCUGUGUGGCUGCGUAGCUGCGCCGCGAACCCUUUUGGGCUCUUCCGUGCGGCGGCGCACCUCGCCACCGCCGACUCCGGCCAAAAAUGUGUGUGCCAUCCUGUGAUGAGGCGUUUCUGCGUCCUCGCCCCUCCUCUCUCAUUUUCUGUUUGGCUGUGCUUUCCUUUUUGUACAAGUAUUACUGAUGCUGCUCUUCCCGCCUCAAUCGGAGAGGGUGCAAAACUGGGUGAGAAUGAGUGUGGGAAGCAGCAGUGUGUGUUUUUGGGGUGACUAGACGUGCGUGACCGUGGUGGCGGGGAGGGCACAUCCCAGAAGGUAUGUGUGGGGGUGGGAGAUGAGGGCUGCGCUGCAGCGCAGCCCCGACAUUCGCGGCGCGUGCGCAGCAGGAUUGCUUCCUCAUGGGAACUGGGUGAAGUGAUACACGCGCAUUGCUGUAGCGUUGAAGACUUCCACUCUCACGCUUAUGGACGCUCCCCCCUCCCUGUGGCGCUGUCGAGGUGCCUCCGCCUCCCUCCAAAGAAGCGAUGGGCCCGUCACUGACGCUUAAAUGCGGGUGGCGUUGUGUCCCAGCCUUGCCUCUUCGUUUGGUCGCGCGCGCCCCCAAUCCUCCCUCCCUUCCGCUGUAGCAGUGGUGAAUGCGCUGUGGCAGCCUCUCUUCUCUCGUUGUUGCUUCCACCUUUGUCU
rnacentral:misc_RNA from 1 species